CACGUAGGGCGCGAGCGUUGUCCGGAAUUAUUGGGCGUAAAGAGCUCGUAGGCGGCCUGUUGCGUCCGCUGUGAAAGCCCCGGGGCUUAACCCCGGGUCGGCAGUGGAUACGGGCAGGCUAGAGGUAGGUAGGGGAGAAUGGAAUUCCCGGUGUAGCGGUGAAAUGCGCAGAUAUCGGGAGGAACACCGGUGGCGAAGGCGGUUCCCUGGGCCUUACCUGACGCUGAGGAGCGAAAGCGUGGGGAGCGAACAGG
rnacentral:rRNA from 1 species